AAUACGGUUACGUAGGUGACCUGCGGAAGGAC
rnacentral:rRNA from 1 species